GCAUGGCCGAAUUCUGUGUAACUCUGUCAGUAGUAAAUGCAGUCAGACGCCACGCAAAAGCAUCCAUUCACUACAACU